rnacentral:misc_RNA from 1 species
UAAAAGGCAGCGAGCGCCAUCGUUCAUCACUCCCUCGUCCCCCUUCCACUUUCCCCACCUCACCCGGUCACCCCUUCUCUGCCUCGUCUCCACUCCUCCCCCCGCCGCCCUCGCCCCAGAGCCCCGCCGCGCGAUUGGGCUCUGCACCCUCCUCGGAUCCGCUGCCGCACGUCGUCGCCAAUCGACAUUCCCCGUUUCCCUCCGCCGGUUCCCGUUGCUGCGCCUGCCUGCUUUACCCCCUUACCGUUUCCUGACCCUGUCCUGGUUCGCGGGUUUCCCGAAUUCGCGCGCUCUUGCGGCGGCGAGAUCCGGCCCGCUCGUCGUAGGGAGAGGGAGCCGACCGCUCCUGAUCCGAGCCGCGCCCCGCGGGGGUUUCGUAUCCCGUUCUCCCUUCUGGUCCGGCCACAGGAUCGCAGUCGCAAGGCUGAGGAGCAGCAGGGGAGAUGGCGCCGCCCUACGUGCUGUCGCUGCUGCUGCUGCUGGUGCUGUCCGUCCCGGCCGUCUUCCUCGUCGCGCCGCGCCUCAUCCCGCCCCGCGCGCUCCCGGCCAUCCCGGACGCCGACGAGACGGAGGACCUCGCGCUGUUCCGCCGCGCCGUGCUCCUCUCCGCCGCGCCCUCCUCCAAGGCCGGCGCUGGCCCCGCCUCCCCCUCGCGUUUCUUCGGCGCUGCCCACCGCCGACAGAGGAAGCAGAAGGUGGCCUUUCUCUUCCUCACCAACUCCGACCUCGUCUUCGCCCCGCUCUGGGAGAGGUUCUUCGCGGGCCACCACGGCCUCCUCAACGUCUACGUCCACGCCGACCCGGCUGCGGCGUUCGCCCUCCCGCCCACGCCCUCCUUCCGCGGCCGCGUAAUCCGGGGGAAGGCCACCCAGCGCGCCUCCGCCACGCUCAUCUCCGCCGCGCGCCGCCUCCUCGCCACCGCGCUGCUCGACGACCCGGCCAACCACUUCUUCGCGAUGCUCUCCCAGUCCUGCGUCCCGCUGCGGCCCUUCCCGGCCCUCUACCGCACGCUCACCGCUGACACUGCCGGCCCGCGCGGCCGCCACCGCAGCUUCAUCGAGAUCCUCGACGCCGAGCCCACUCUGCACGACCGCUACUACGCGCGCGGCGACGACGCCAUGCUCCCGGAGGUGCCCUACGAGAGCUUCCGCGUCGGCUCCCAGUUCUUCGUGCUCACCAGGAGGCACGCUGUCAUGGUGGUCAGGGACAGGAGGCUUUGGAACAAGUUCAAGCUGCCGUGUCUCGUCAAGAGGAAGCACUCGUGCUACCCGGAGGAGCACUACUUCCCGACGCUGCUGGACAUGCAGGACCCCGCAGGAUGCACCAAGUUCACGCUCACCAGGGUGAACUGGACCGACUCCUUUGACGGCCACCCGCACACGUACCAGCCGGAGGAGGUGUCCCCGGAGCUCAUCAGGGACCUCAGGAAGUCCAAUGGCACAUACUCCCACAUGUUUGCGCGCAAAUUCGCGCCUGGAUGCCUUGCGCCGCUCAUGGAGAUUGCCGACUCUGUCAUUCUCCGUGACUAGGCUGCUUCUUAGCAUCCCUCCGUUUGCAUUGCACGACCGGAAGAGCUGAGGGUUGUGAUGUGAUGAACAAGCGUAAGCUGACCCCAUCCAUCCCCCCUUUGGAAUUCUUCAGCACCGAACCUACCUUGUUCUUCUGCACCUGCAGUUGCUCUUUGGCAAAAGAUCGAUGCCACGCCUCGGAGGGUACGGUGGCUGUGGCAGUGUCUGUGUCUGUGCCGACGGGCCCCGCGCUGCCUCUUGUGAGUAUGUUCUUUUUGUGCGUCCUUGUUUCUUUUCUUUUUUCCAGUGAGAGAGAGAGAGAGCUGGCUAAAGAUGAGGGAGAAGCUGGCACGUAAUAGGGU